rnacentral:rRNA from 1 species
AGCAGUCGCCGCGGGAAUACGUAGGUCCCGAGCGUUAUCCGGAGUGACUGGGCGUAAAGAGUUGCGUAGGCGGUCAAGUUAGCGAGCGAUGAAAACUAUCGGCUCAAUCGAUAGCUUGUUGUUCGAACUGCUUGACUCGAGAGUAUCAGAGGUCGCUGGAAUUCCUAGUGUAGCAGUGAAAUGCGUAGAGAUGUGGAGGAACACCAGUGGCGAAGGCGACUCUCUGGUCUGUAACUGACGCUGAGGAGCGAAAGCGUGGGGAGCGAACAGGAUUAGAUACCCCGGUAGUCCCUGUCUCUUAUU